AGAAUAGUUCUCCUCAUAGAGGGAAAAGAUGUGGAUUCUCCAAGGUCCUUUUUUGAGAUUGCUGCCAUUUAAACUCUUCAGAAGAUUAUCAGAAUGAGUACUGAAAUUUGAGAAUGACAUCAAAAUAUUCACAGUGAUGAAAAUGCAAAUAGCUUAUGGGAAAUUUUUAUUUUCAAAUAAAAUAGAUGGACAACAAAGUGGAAAAGGAAAUUUAAAUUGAGUAAAUGUAGGUUGGGGCAAAAAUAAAUAAAUCCUAUAUACACUGAAGCUUCUGAAGUGUUGGUGAUUUGCCUGAAUGGCAACCCCCACCCCAAUCCUUGGUAGCAAGUUAGAGUGGGGCAGUUAUGCAACAUGCAGAUUCCAUGUCAUGAGUUAGGAUUAGAUAAGCAGCAAAGUGCAAACUCACCCUUGACUGAAAACCACUUGAGUCCUUCAAGCAUUUCCAAAAAAUGCUCAGAAACCCUUAAGAAAAUUCCAGAGAGGUAACUGAUGCUAGCUCUUGGUGCUAAAUACGACAAUACAGCAACACAAAAGAGCCAUUGGUGUAAAUAUAUUUUGUUUUGCUUAGAAACCACAGUGAUGAUGUCAGCAUUGUUUUUCUUUCUGCUUAUAAGCAAAAACAAGCAGAUAAAGUAAACAACUGAUGUUUACGGGCAGGGGUGGCUGCUGUUUUUUAGAAGAAUUAAGCAAACAAAAUUUAGAAUAUAAAUAAGCUGUGUUUUCCCAUCAUAAGAAUCAGAGGAAUCAGUGAAGAGAUGCAGCAGCGGCUGCAUCUUAUCCAAGGCCACAGAUAAGCAAGUGGCUCCAAAAAAUCAACAAUGAGAUUUCCUCCUUAGAGAUACGUGACAUUGCCUGAGGCAAUCAAAGGAGCUCACCCCACCCGGCAAGGGCUUCAGACGCAUCCUCACAUCCUCCUUUGGAUCCCGCCUAUGUUAGUCUUUGAAAUGCACAAUAUUUUUCUUAUGUUCUUGUGAAGAAGAGGAGAAUGAGGAGGAAGAUGCGGACAGAACUACACCAUCCCCACCCUCCUAGUUUUUACUCUCAUUCCAUCUGGACUCCCAUUUUCCAUUCUCCAGAGUAGCAAACUCAAGUAAUGUGACCCAUACUGAUGACACCUUAUUCCAAAUCUCCUGAUGAUCUCCCUCAGCAGUUCAACAUAAAUGUCAGAUACCAUUGGGGCACACCACAACUGAGAGUUCAACGGGCCAACAAGUCAACCCCAAGCUGAACUGUCUGGACACAUUCCUCAUGGAAGGACUGAAGAAAGCUCAAUGCCAUCCCCCGAUCCCUAUCUCAGAGACCCUGCUCAGGAGGACACCAUGGUGGAUGGUAUCAAAAGCCACUGAGAGAUCAAGGAGAACCAGCAGGGUACCUUUACCCCUGUCAGCUCCCCUUAAAAGUUCAUUGUGUAGUGUGACCAGUGUUGUCUCAGUACCCUGUUGUUGCCUGAAUCCAGACUAGAGUGGGUCAAGGCAAUUUUGCUUCUCCAGGUAUGUCUGAAGCUGAUUAGCCACUACCUGCUUGAUCACCUUCCUCAUAAAAAUAAUAUUGGCAAUUGGAAGUAAGUUAUGAUCACUCAUUGCCAGUUGAGGGCAUUUAAUGGUGGGUCAGAUAAUGAUUUCUUUUACACAAGGAGAGAUAAAUCCCUCCUUCAGUGAUUUGAUGACAAUAUUCACAACCCAAUUCACCACAGCCCCAUUGUCAGCUUUUAUUAGCCAAGGCAGGCAAGAAUCGAGCUAGGAGGCAGUAGCCUACACCUAACCAGCAGCCUGGAAACCUCCUUUGGCAUUACCAGGUCAAACUGAACCAAAUGGGCAGGGUUAGAGGGUGCAGCAGCAGUCCCCACCCAAUCAACCAAACUGCUGGUGAAGUCAAGAUCAGACUGGAUGUCCUUUUAGAAGGCUAUAAAUUGUCCGCUGUUUUUUUUUGUUUGUUUUUUUUUUGAAGCAAGGCCUUUGAGGGCCACGGUUGGUGAGACCAUGAACCACCCAGACGUUUUCUGCCUGUCAGUUUGUGGCCUCAUUAAUGAUCUUGCUGUUGAAAACCCUUUUUGCUGCUUUCAAGGCAUUGGCAUGCCUCCUACAUAAACCCUUAACGGCAGCCAAAUUUAGAUCCAACUGGUCUUUCCGCCACCUGCUAAAACAGCAAUCACUGCUUCCUGCACCUCUCCUGACUUCUAUCUAAGAAACAUGUGCCUAGCAAAAUCCAUCAUGCCAUGAACUUUGGGACUUGAGUUUUCACACUGGUACAGCAUGAUGAAGUGGUGUUUUGAUCCACGAAAGCUUGUGUACUGCAUAGUGAUUUUUAAGUGGUCUAUAAAGGUAUCACCUAUUGCACAAGUAAAUGAAGUUAUUUCCUUUUCUGAGAUCUGCAUUGCCACACAUAAUAACUUUAACAAUAAGUAUAAUCGAUAUACUUUGUGUUGAUCCAGUGGAUACAGGGGUUCUAUUGUACCAUUAUAGUUGCACAUUUAUAAAAAUAACUUUUCUUUCUUAAAGUGACUGAACUAUUAAAGCAUUGAAGUACGACUAGCCACUAGCCUGUGGUACAAAACAUUACCAAGUACUAUAAGAAAGCAUUGAUAAUAUAGAUAACAUGUUUUUAAAAGCAAACAUGCUGAACAUAUUUUUAAAAAUCCACACGACUAAUGGGUUAUUAUUGAAAUGAGUUUUUCCAUAAUAACAAAUGGAACAGCCUUUCAGUUUUGUAUGUAAUAGAAACACCUGGAAUUUACUAUGGCCAAAAUCAUGUACCUUAGCAUAGUAAAUUGCACUAGAAUAGUCUCAUUAACUCAAUGCAGAUUUUGUAAAUCAACUCCUCCAUAAAUUCCACUGAUUCUAAUAGGCCGAUUCUAACUGCAAUUUACCAUAGCAUGGUAAAUCACAGUUAGAAGAGGCCCAUUUGAAUUAAUAGUAUUAUAGUUGACUCACCAAAUCCCCAUUGAAUGGACCUACUGUAGUGCAAUUUACUUCACUAAGCAACAGGAUUUUGCCCUGUAUUUUCAAGGGCAUUUAAACAAACACUUGUCUGUGACUUAUUACAAAAGGAGUGCUAGCAACUCCUUUAGCAACAAAUGACUACAGCCCUGGUUGCUUUAUUUUUGCUUCUCCUCUUCCAUGGCAUUCUGGGUAAAGAUCUCCUGCAGCAGAUACUUAUUCUCGCUCCCGAACUCAGGC